GACGAACGCUGGCGGCGUGCUUAACACAUGCAAGUCGAACGGUGAACGAGGGAGCUUGCUCCAUCCGGAUCAGUGGCGAACGGGUGAGUAACACGUGAGCAAUCUGCCCCGAACUCUGGGAUAAGCGUUGGAAACGACGUCUAAUACCGGAUACGACGCGGGAGGGCAUCCUCUCCGCGUGGAAAGAACUUCGGUUCGGGAUGAGCUCGCGGCCUAUCAGCUUGUUGGUGAGGUAACGGCUCACCAAGGCGACGACGGGUAGCCGGCCUGAGAGGGUGACCGGCCACACUGGGACUGAGACACGGCCCAGACUCCUACGGGAGGCAGCAGUGGGGAAUAUUGCACAAUGGGCGCAAGCCUGAUGCAGCAACGCCGCGUGAGGGACGACGGCCUUCGGGUUGUAAACCUCUUUUAGCAGGGAAGAAGCGAAAGUGACGGUACCUGCAGAAAAAGCACCGGCUAACUACGUG
rnacentral:rRNA from 1 species